rnacentral:lncRNA from 1 species
GAUUCGGAGUCGGAUUAUUUUUUUUUUGAGAAAUAGGUAGCGAAGCUACCUGUUUCAUUCAUUAAGUAAGAUGAAUUAAGCGUACAUGUUGGAGACAGCUAAGGCCUCCUAGAGGGACCGGAAGAAAAACAAAAGAAAGAUAAAAACGAAAACAAAACAGUAAACAAACACUAAAAAACCUGACACGGGAACAAAACGGGAGACUUUCGAUUCCAAUUCGCUUGUAUCUGAAUUUCCGGCGCUGAAAGAAGAAAUCACUUUUAAAGUACGUCAGAGUAUUGUGGUCCAAGUGCUGAUCAGUAGUUUGAGACGUGCAAGAGACCCAGAAACCGUACAAAACGGGAGACUUUCGAUUCCAAUUCGCUUGUAUCUAAAUUUUCGGCGCUGAAAGAAGAAAUCACUUUUAAAGUACGUCAGAGUAUUGUGGUCCAAGUGCUGAUCAGUAGUUUGAGGCUUCGGAGUCGGAUUAUUAAUCCGACUCCGAUUGGGAUUUAGAAUUGGAUUCAUUUUAGGAGUGUCAGAUGG